UUGGUCGAUGUCAUGUGAUCGGCGUGAUCUGCGCGUACGCGUGAUUGAAGCGCCAUGCAUCACGAACCAAACUACUACGUAGCUGGGAACGCGCACGCGCAUGCACGCCAAACAGUUUUCUGCUACACCUCGUGUUUUUGAAAUGCAGAUUUUCAGCUAGCUGGAUCGCGAUCGGGAGACGACAAAGAAGAAACGAUCUUGUUGUGACUAUACUUUGCGCUUGUCGUCGACAACAGCCUUUGUCAUUGACAUUGUUGUUUGUCUUUUGAGCGUCCACUCUGGCCAACUCCUUUUUUCCUGAACCGGGUUCCACUGCUUCUGGGGUGUUCGUCUCGCAACCAGUAGCACCAACAUAAUCUUCUUUUGAGUAAACAUGUUCAGCCAUCUGCUGCUGUGUCGGGAAGGAUUUGGAGGAGUAUUGCUGGUCGUAUGGACCUGGAGCAGUGGAGGCGAUGUCGUGAAGAAGGUUGCGUUUUGCAAGGAAGGAAGUUAAUAUUUGAACUAGAAGGUGCGGGCUAGUGACCUGAAGCAGUAGCAGAAGAGUACGUUACUACCCGUGAAGCAGAGUGUUUUCCUCGUGACAACCCGUGCGCGGUCUCUGCCUACAGCGGGAUGUCCGCAUAUACGCUGAUGUUCGGUCCUCCACCUUCUUCCACCAUACGAUUAGUAAUAUUACUACAUGUAUUAAUAGGUCGCGGCACAGAGUUAUGUCUUGUCUCAUGUCACCAUCUGUGCAUACGCGGUUCGUGCAUACUCGCGUGCUCGCGCGAAAUGAACAAUGUGAUCCAUAUGUGCAUGCAACCUACCCUUAUUCAUACAUGUACUGAUAGUGUAGUCAGUUCUGUGGUUAGUUUUCUGUUUCGCAAGUGGAAACAAGUUUUAGUUUGUUUUCCUCUGCUCGAAUGAUGUGUUUGUUCUUGCAAUAAGUCCUUCCGAAUAAUACCUUUCUCCUUGUCUGA